UCACGGACUUAGCUGGUUUUGCCUAAGUCAUGCGACACCCUUGCGUGUCCGUCCGCAAAAGUCAGCCUCCCCGAAGCCUCCCAUGGUCCCUUAGGACCCACAAAAGAGAAAACGGGUUAGAGAAAAUGCCUCACUUGGGAUCCACAAGCAAACAUUCCAGGAAACACUUCAUAGACAAUGCAAAUUACAAAUAGACUUUAC
rnacentral:lncRNA from 1 species